GGGAGGGGUAGGUUCAGCAUACACGGUCUCGGGAGAGAGAGAUUUGUUUGGACUGGGUUCUUGGAGAGGAGUGACAGAUGCAGAGCUUGGGUGGCUGUCAGGUGUGCGUUUCCUCUUCCUGGACAGAGUUUGGACAGCUUCAUCCUGAUCACCUUCUUCGGCAAUCUGUAUUUCUACAGGCGGUACGAAGGGGGGGAUGAUCGAAGAUUGGG
rnacentral:lncRNA from 1 species